rnacentral:piRNA from 1 species
UGAAUUUUGCUUCUGAAGAUAGAGCCACGGU